CCUCUCAUGGCGUAGGGGUUAAGCGCCCUAACUAGAGACCAGGGAGUCGUGAGUUCGAUUCUCACUGAGAAGA
rfam:Aedes aegypti strain Liverpool supercont1.844 genomic scaffold, whole genome shotgun sequence.